rnacentral:sRNA from 1 species
GAAUCUCUCGUCUAGGAGAACCAUACUCAAAGUGUAGAAAUGUCGAGGAAUUUUUCAAACAGUACAAAGCAGUCUAUACAAGAAAGCUCUGUAAAAAGAUGUGUCUAUUAGAAAGAAUCUCCAAGGAAUGCAAGUGUGAAUAUCGACAUUAUCAACCUAUAACUGAGCUAUUUAAUUUUACUAGCAGCAAUGUGUGUAACAGUAGUCAAGAUGCAGAGUGUGUUGCUAGGAUACGUAUGUCAUUCAGGGCGGACGAUGACAACUGUGGAUGUUAUGACCCAUGCG